CUCCAUGUCGCGUUAGUUCUCUGUAUCGAUUGGCCAUUUUGUUUUCAAUUUUGAAAGAAGGAGAACAAAUGUGACAGAACUUUUCCCUUUAAUGAGGGUUCAGUUUGUGCCUCGAUGUCAGGAUUCUGUGUCACGAUAGGCCUCCAUCCAUCAUGUCCAUGUAAUCGAGAAAUUGGACCCCAAUGGAAAGCCCACCUUGUCAGCACAUCCUGCCCGGUUUUCUCCAGACGACAAGUACUCUAAACAGAGGGUGACAAUAAAGAAGCGUUUCGGACAGCUCCUGACUCAAACUCCAACCCCAGUGUACUAACGACCUCCCCUGCUGCUUACGAGACUUUCCAGGA